rnacentral:lncRNA from 11 species
UGUGUACCCAAGAGGAAGUCUCAUCCGGCGUCAGCCACUGAUUGAGGUUCCGGGUUUUAGCCUGCCACUUUUGGACUCUUGCUUACUAAUGUGUUCCUGCGAGUAUCUCUGUAGAUCUUAGAUCUAUUUCUUGAUUUAAGGCAUUGGUGUGCUGGCUGAUAUCUGAACAGGGGAUGGACUGGAUAUGUCAUCACUUUCGUCCUUUCAUUGUUGGCUGCUACUUCCUGAGAAUGUCAGUUUUUUAAACAUUGUGUGAAACUCAAAUAUUCAUCGAAUGGUGUUUCUCCUUGCUUGUGGAUAUAGGGAAG